UACAUUCUAAAUUAUUACAAAUUCUUAUUAUUGGUUAUCAUCAAUAAUAAUAAUUAUCAUUAAAAGACACAACACCAAAGUUGAAGAUCGAGUCUCAAACAUUAACCACUCAUCAUGAUGUAAAUCAAUUCCCUUUCCAUCAAAAUCAACACCAUCCCACAACCCAUCCAAAUGCAUUUUCUUGCAUAAGAUAUUUUGCAUUGUGUUUGUGGUUGUGGAGAUCAAAAAAUGCAAUCUAAUUGUUGAUGAAGGGACUUAUCUCAAAUUUUUAAUGUCAAAAAUGGUGGGGGUUGAUGAAAAGAA
rnacentral:lncRNA from 1 species